UUGGCAUGCAGUAAUGACAAGCAAAAAAUAGAAACAACAGUCUUGGCCAGUGAACUUCUGAGUGUUGGAAGUGUGUCACAUUGAAUUAAUGGCAGGAUUUUGUUAACACCAGUAGAGCUUGCCUCUAUGACUGGAGUUUGGUAGUGGUCAUUGCCACAUAU